GCGGUUCUAGCCCAACGGCAGAGGCAGCUGGCUGAGGGCCAGUCCAGUCGGGGUUCGAAUCCCCGGAACCGCA
rnacentral:tRNA from 1 species